rnacentral:lncRNA from 1 species
GGGGGAGGUCUGAUACAUAUCCGAUCUCAGACGAAAUCUUAUCUCACUGAGCAGACUAGAUUCGAGAGGCUAUAGGAUGGUAGCUGAUGGAGAAAUCUUGAAGUACUUUGCGGUGAUAGGAAUAUUCUGAAGGAGAAGAAAAGAAGGAGAGGAUAUUACUAUCUGAUGGAGAGCCCAGUGCGAGGUAGAGCUUCAAGAGCCAGAUGGAGCCCAGAGUGAGGUGGAGCUCCAGAUGGAGGUGGAUCGGGCA